UACGAAGGGGGCUAGCGUUGCUCGGAAUUACUGGGCGUAAAGCGCACGUAGGCGGUUUCUUAAGUCGGGGGUGAAAUCCUGGAGCUCAACUCCAGAACUGCCUUCGAUACUGAGAGACUUGAGUCCGGGAGAGGUGAGUGGAACUGCGAGUGUAGAGGUGAAAUUCGUAGAUAUUCGCAAGAACACCAGUGGCGAAGGCGGCUCACUGGCCCGGUACUGACGCUGAGGCGCGACAGCGUGGGGAGCAAACAGG
rnacentral:rRNA from 1 species